rnacentral:rRNA from 1 species
UACGAAGGGAGCUAGCGUUGUUCGGAAUCACUGGGCGUAAAGCGCACGUAGGCGGAUGUGUCAGUCAGGGGUGAAAUCCCGGAGCUCAACUUCGGAACUGCCUUUGAUACAGCACGUCUUGAGUCCGAUAGAGGUGGGUGGAAUUCCUAGUGUAGAGGUGAAAUUCGUAGAUAUUAGGAAGAACACCAGUGGCGAAGGCGGCUCACUGGUCCGGUACUGACGCUGAUGUGCGAAAGCGUGGGGAGCAAACAGG